UUCUGCCUCCGCCUCACGGUCCUCUGGGGAAGGCGCUUAGUAACCAGGGCCCCUUUAGGUCAUCUGUGUAGCAGAAAACGUGGUUCUAGGUAGCUUGCAGCUUUAGAAUUCUACGAGUUCAAGCUACUUCUCGUAAAAAAAAAUUUAGCCCCUGACUAGAUUUGUUCACAAACUGAACCUGUUUGGAGGCCGCAGUAACUACAGGUGAAAGUGGAAUUGUCUAAAUCACCUCUCCCGCCUCAUUCCGUGUAGAGAAGACUUGGAAUAAAAGAAAAGCUUUCUUUGGGAAGAAAUCAUGACAAAUCAUGAUUUGUCAUGAUUUCUUCCAUCCCUGCAGGAAAGCCACAGGAAAAACAGGUUUUCUCUAUAGAAACACAACUACAACAUACACCUUCAGGAAUGGCCUCACGUUUAAGUGCCUGUGAAUAAAGCAUUUCUUUUGAUUUUGCUCUAACCAAGACCCUCCCACAGCCAUGAGGCCUGUCUUCUUUCAGCCAGAGAAAACUCACAGCUUAAAGGCAGACAGAAGCCCGUUCUACUGUUACCGGCUGUAAGUUUUGUGGUGGCCGGCCUCCAACAUGGCCUGCAGUAAUCCCUCCCCGCUGGUCUUCAUGUCUUUGUGUCAGCCUCUCCCACUGUCCCACACUGUACAGAAUUGUCUGUGUGAUCAACAGAAUACAGAGAAGCAAUGAUAUGCCACUUCCCAAACUCAGUUAUAAAAGACUAUGGCUUCAGACCUGGGCUCUUAUUCUCUCUCUCUCUCUCGUCCCUUGCCCUAGUGGAAGCCAGUUGCCAUGGGAUGAAGACAUUCAGGCAAACAGUGGAGAGGCCCAUGAUAAGGCAGAAAACUGAAAUCCCUGCUAACAGCUGUGAACUGCCCCAUUUUGAGGAUGAUUUGCUACGAUAUUACUGCCACUGCGGUGUGUAAAUAUCACUGGCAGAUUGAGAGCAGAAAUAUUUUUCAAAUAACUGUGCCUGGAUCCUGUCUCUAUAAGUGUCUGUCUCUGCCCAUAGAAUAUGAGCUCUAUAAGGAAUUUGUUCUUUUGUCAUUUUUGUUCACUGAAGAACCCCAAGGGCCUGGAACUUGACAGCUGGUAGACAUGCAACAAAUACGUCCUGACUGAUGCUGGCUAUCAUCCCACGACUGCACUGUUCAUGAAGAUCAACCAAGUCCUCAUGCUCUACUCCUUGACCACUGAGAGUCCUCGGGUUUCUUUUUCAAGAAAAUACUGAGCAGCCAGGGAAAAAUUCUACUUACCAAGUGAUUACAUUUUCUUGAAAACUUAUUCUGGCUAUGACUCAGCCUCAGGAGCUUGGUUGGUGUGAAUAUACCCUGGGUGAGCUAAUAAAAUCAAAGCCCUGAAAAUGCAAAGUUGAGGUCCCAACCCUGAAUCCAUGCUCCCCUGGGGACUGGGACGAGGAAAAGGGCAGUGCAGAUGUGGAGAAGUGGACAGCUGACGAUGCGAGGCGCUCUAGGGUGUUUGAAGAAGGGCAUGCAGGUGGCUGUGCUUUAGGAUGAUUGACCUGGCUGGGCUGCGUCUAAAAGGAGCAGUCAGAGCUAACUUAGUGGUCCCCUGUCAUGUUCUUCUUGGGCAGCUCCAGGUUCAAAGAAGCUCCACGCAGCUCUGCAGGUGGGAUCAACCCAGACACAUGGCUCUCAGUCUGCAAACAUCAUGUCUUCACUGCACAGCCUGCCCUCAUCGAGAAGGGUGUCUCCAGUCUUUCCAAGAACAUGACACAUGACAAAGUUAGGACAGGACUGUAGACUCUCCAAGCUCCCUAUUGUACAUGACAUAGUUUAAAGAAUCAGAGUUUUCCUGAAAGAGGCAAGUUAACCUUGACUUGCAGAGUAUUUGGACAGUCACAAAAAGCCAUGGUAAGCAAUAAUUGUUCUGCUGGGACUUUACAAUAUCAAAAUCAGACAUUGAUGUCUGUCCACCCCAUGCAUUCCCCUCCUUCUGUGUGCAAGAAUUGAUUUCCACUAGUUGAAAUUCACACAAUAAAGGAAACUUUUGUUUUCAAUUCUGCUGAUGAGAGAGACAAUUAUAUGCGACCUCCUCAUUGAUUGACUGUGCUGUUUUCUUAGAUUUACUUCUUGGGAGAAUCAUUAAACAUAAGAGAAAAAGAUUUGUUUCCAUCGAUUGGAUGAUGUGUCCAUCUGACAGCCCUGGUUUUUAUAUUAAAGUUAUUAUGUCAUUAAUGUAAUUUGCAGAAUCAAGAAGAAAUCACUCAGGUUCUGAUUGUAUUGCUGGUUAUGUUUUUUUUCAAAUAAAUAAAAACUUUUUAAAGGA